AGGGCACCACCAGGAGUGGAGCCUGCGGCUUAAUUUGACUCAACACGGGGAAACUCACCCGGCCCGGACACCGUAAGGGUUGACAGAUUGAUAGCUUUUUCAUGAUUCGGUGGAUGGUGGUGCAUGGCCGUUCUCAGUUCGUGGGGCGAUUUGUCUGGUUUAUUCCGAUAACGAGCGAGACUCUGGCCUACUAAAUAGUUGGCGCAUUGCCACUGUGCGUACAUACUUCUUAGAGGGAUUUUCGGUGUUCAGCCGCACGAAAUUGAGCAAUAACAGGUCUGUGAUGCCCUUAGAUGUCCGGGGCCGCACGCGCGCUACACUGAAGUGAUCAGCGUGCUUUGCUAUGCCUACUCUGACAAGAGUGGGAAACCCCAUGAACCUUCUUCGUGAUUGGGAUAGGAGAUUGUAAUUAUUCUCCUUGAACGAGGAAUUCCCAGUAAGCGCGAGUCAUAAGCUCGCGUUGAUUACGUCCCUGCCCUUUGUACACACCGCCCGUCGCUACUACCGGUUGAAUGUUUU
rnacentral:rRNA from 1 species